ACUUUUAAAGGAAAACAGUC
rnacentral:tRNA from 1 species